UACGGAGGGUGCAAGCGUUAUCCGGAUUCACUGGGUUUAAAGGGUGCGUAGGUGGGUUGGUAAGUCAGUGGUGAAAUCCCCGAGCUUAACUUGGGAACUGCCAUUGAUACUAUCGGUCUUGAAUACCGUGGAGGUUAGCGGAAUAUGUCAUGUAGCGGUGAAAUGCUUAGAUAUGACAUAGAACACCAAUUGCGAAGGCAGCUGGCUACACGAAUAUUGACACUGAGGCACGAAAGCGUGGGGAUCAAACAGG
rnacentral:rRNA from 1 species